rnacentral:rRNA from 1 species
CUUCGGAGACACUCGAGUGGCGAACGGGUGAGUAACACGUGGGUGAUCUGCCCUGCACUUCGGGAUAAACCUGGGAAACUGGGUCUAAUACCGGAUAGGACCACGGGAUGCAUGUCUUGUGGUGGAAAGCGCUUUAGCGGUGUGGGAUGAGCCCGCGGCCUAUCAGCUUGUUGGUGGGGUGACGGCCUACCAAGGCGACGACGGGUAGCCGGCCUGAGAGGGUGUCCGGCCACACUGGGACUGAGAUACGGCCCAGACUCCUACGGGAGGCAGCAGUGGGGAAUAUUGCACAAUGGGCGCAAGCCUGAUGCAGCGACGCCGCGUGGGGGAUGACGGCCUUCGGGUUGUAAACCUCUUUCACCAUCGACGAAGGUCCGGGUUCUCUCGGAUUGACGGUAGGUGGAGAAGAAGCACCGGCCAACUACGUGCCAGCAGCCGCGGUAAUACGUAGGGUGCGAGCGUUGUCCGGAAUUACUGGGCGUAAAGAGCUCGUAGGUGGUUUGUCGCGUUGUUCGUGAAAUCUCACGGCUUAACUGUGAGCGUGCGGGCGAUACGGGCAGACUAGAGUACUGCAGGGGAGACUGGAAUUCCUGGUGUAGCGGUGGAAUGCGCAGAUAUCAGGAGGAACACCGGUGGCGAAGGCGGGUCUCUGGGCAGUAACUGACGCUGAGGAGCGAAAGCGUGGGGAGCGAACAGGAUUAGAUACCCUGGUAGUCCACGCCGUAAACGGUGGGUACUAGGUGUGGGUUUCCUUCCUUGGGAUCCGUGCCGUA